ensembl:lncRNA
GAAAUGUGAGGUCAAAGUUAAACUAAACCCUGUUUUAUCAUGUAAACAUCGACAGCAUUUGUGGCAGAUGUCAGAAAAUGAUGAUCGGUCAUGGAAAAAAAGAAGAAGUUUAAAGCAGAUGAACUUCUGGUCGUGUGUUUCUGCCGUAUAUGAAAUUUAAUGGUGUCACAUGGACGUUGAGAAGAAAAAAUCAGCUAAAAUUACACCAAUAAGCAUCAUCUGUAUACAAAGUGAUUUGGACAAUUUGGACAUGGAGCCACAUUGAGAUCCUCAUAUCAGUGGGACUGAACCAUGUAGGGCCUUGAAAAAGAAGACAACCAAAGAAAAGUUUGUUAAGAACCGGAAUCUAAAAUCAUAUUGGAGUAUCUUUAAUACUUCAUGAGUUAC